rnacentral:rRNA from 1 species
CAGCCGCCACGGUAAUACGUAGGGUGCAGGCGUUAAUCGGAAUUACUGGGCGUAAAGCGUGCGCAGGCGGUUUGUUAAGACAGAUGUGAAAUCCCCGGGCUCAACCUGGGAACUGCAUUUGUGACUGGCAAGCUAGAGUGUGGCAGAGGGGGGUGGAAUUCCGCGUGUAGCAGUGAAAUGCGUAGAUAUGCGGAGGAACACCGAUGGCGAAGGCAGCCCCCUGGACCAACACUGACGCUCAUGCACGAAAGCGUGGGGAGCAAACAGGAUUAGAUACCCCUGUAGUCCCUGUCUCUUAUAA